GGGAAUUGUUCACAAUGGGCGCAAGCCUGAUGACGCAACGCCGCGUGGGGGAUGAAGGCCUUCGGGUCGUAAACCCCUGUCGAAUGGGACGAAUAGCCCGCGAUUUAACAGAACGCGGGAUUGACGGUACCGUUAAAGGAAGCCACGGCUAACUCUGUGCCAGCAGCCGCGGUAAUACAGAGGUGGCAAGCGUUGUUCGGAAUUACUGGGCGUAAAGGGCGCGUAGGCGGCCUUCUAAGUCAGACGUGAAAUCCCCCGGCUUAACCUGGGAACUGCGUCUGAUACUGGGAGGCUUGAGUAUGGGAGAGGGAUGUAGAAUUCCAGGUGUAGCGGUGAAAUGCGUAGAGAUCUGGAGGAAUACCGGUGGCGAAGGCGGCCCCCUGGACGAAGACUGACGCUCAGGUGCGAAAGCGUGGGGAGCAAAC
rnacentral:rRNA from 1 species